GACGAACGCUGGCGGCGUGCUUAACACAUGCAAGUCGAACGGAAAGACCCUGCUUUUGUGGGGUGCUCGAGUGGCGAACGGGUGAGUAACACGUGAGUAACCUGGCCUUGACUUUGGGAUAACUUCAGGAAACUGGGGCUAAUACCGGAGAGGAGCUCCUGCUGCAUGGUGGUGGUUGGAACGUUUCGGCGGUUGGGGAUGGACUGGCGGCUUAUCAGCUUGUUGGUGGAGUAGUGGCUUACCAAGGCUUUGACGGGUAGCCGGCCUGAGAGGGUGACCGGCCACAUUGGGACUGAGAUACGGACCAGACUGGUACGGGAGGCAGCAGUGGGGAAUAUUGCACAAUGGGCGGAAGCCUGAUGAAGCAACGCCGCGUGCGGGAAGACGGCCUUCGGGUUGUAAACCGCUUUCGCCUGUGACGAAGCGUGAGUGACGGUAAUGGGUAAAGAAGCACCGGCUAACUACGUG
rnacentral:rRNA from 1 species